CAUGCAAGUUGAACGAAGCGCUUAAAUGGAUUUCUUCGGAUUGAAGUUUUUGUGACUGAGUGGCGGACGGGUGAGUAACGCGUGGGUAACCUGCCUCAUACAGGGGGAUAACAGUUAGAAAUGACUGCUAAUACCGCAUAAGCGCACAGUGCUGCAUGGCACAGUGUGAAAAACUCCGGUGGUAUGAGAUGGACCCGCGUCUGAUUAGCUAGUUGGUGGGGUAACGGCCUACCAAGGCGACGAUCAGUAGCCGGCCUGAGAGGGUGAACGGCCACAUUGGGACUGAGACACGGCCCAAACUCCUACGGGAGGCAGCAGUGGGGAAUAUUGCACAAUGGGGGAAACCCUGAUGCAGCGACGCCGCGUGAGCGAAGAAGUAUUUCGGUAUGUAAAGCUCUAUCAGCAGGGAAGAAAAUGACGGUACCUGACUAAGAAGCACCGGCUAAAUACGUGCCAGCAGCCGCGGUAAUACGUAUGGUGCAAGCGUUAUCCGGAUUUACUGGGUGUAAAGGGAGCGUAGACGGUUGUGUAAGUCUGAUGUGAAAGCCCGGGGCUCAGCCCCGGGACUGCAUUGGAAACUAUGUAACUAGAGUGUCGGAGAGGUAAGCGGAAUUCCUAGUGUAGCGGUGAAAUGCGUAGAUAUUAGGAGGAACACCAGUGGCGAAGGCGGCUUACUGGACGAUCACUGACGUUGAGGCUCGAAAGCGUGGGGAGCAAACAGGAUUAGAUGCCCUGGUAGUCCACGCCGUAAACGAUGACUACUAGGUGUCGGGGAGCAAAGCUCUUCGGUGCCGCAGCAAACGCAAUAAGUAGUCCACCUGGGGAGUACGUUCGCAAGAAUGAAACUCAAAGG
rnacentral:rRNA from 1 species